rnacentral:tRNA from 1 species
AAGUACACCAUUUCUUGCAUGAAUUUGAAAGAGUGUGGCUGACAGAAUAGCAUCUCACACGAUAGGGCAACUGGUCCGUCACCGACUUUCGGUCCGAAUCGUCUAGAGGUUAGGACAACACGUUGUGGCCGUGUAAACCCAGGUUCGAUUCCUGGUUCGGACAAAUUUUUCUUCGUCUGCUCUGUUCUCGUUUUGAUGUAACCAGAGAUGCUUUUCUUUUUCGUCAUCAAGUCACACGAAAUGCGAGAAUUAUUUUGUGACUUGUAGGCUCUCUCCGUCAUCUAAAGUGUCGAUGCUAAAGAGAUGAUGAAACACGCGACCCUUCCCUGAGGGUUACCUGGGCUACUUGAAGGAUAUUUACUUGCCUGAUGUAGCAUACCUGAUGUAACAUCGAAAUGGGUCUUGGUAUUACAGAUUAUCUUGUCUUUUAUGGGUCAGAGGCGAUCUUUUGCUGUGUUGCGUGUUCAACGAAGCCAGUCUUUCGCUCAACCGUUCACAAGCUCGAGAAGUUUUCCGCCCUUGACAAAGCGUCGUGUCCCCGGUGUGAGGAAGCAAAGGACCACUGAUCCAUAGAUCUUAGCGUCAGUAAAGAGUUUUGUUUUGCUGGUACACUGCCUGCACGACUGCUGUCCUUGGAAGGAACGAACAGGCUGGCAUGUCGGUCCACCUCGUCGCCAGCGUGAGCAGAAUCGUGUUGAAAGUGCCGGGAUUUUGUAACAGUGGAUUCAGAGCAACUCUGGUGGCAUGUGACGAAGUCCCGCCAAGGGUGAGAAGCGGGCGACACACAACGCCUUUCAAGAAAGAAACAGGAAAC